rnacentral:lncRNA from 1 species
UGUGAUAGACUUGAGGUGGGAAGCGUCAAGGAGGAUCCCUGGCGGCGAGGGCAUGCUCUGGUUGUAGAAGAAAACAAAAACUACCUGGGAGUUAAUAAAGACAACUGUGAAGACUGGGAACGUAGCUCAGGGGUAGAGCACUUGCCUGGCUCGUGCAAGGCCCUAGGUUCCAAAACACAACUCUGAAUAUCAAAAAAGAAGACUUAAAAAUGGAAGACAAGCCGGGCACGGUGGCACACACCUGUAAUCCUGGUGGCUUGGGAGGCUGAGGCAGGAGGAUCACAAAUUAAAAGCCAGCCUCAGCAAAAGCGAGGUGCUAAGCAACUCAGUGAGACCUGUCUCUAAAUAAAAUACAAAAUAGGGCUUGGGUGAGGCUCAAUGGUCAAGUGCCUCUGAGUUCCAUCCCUGGUACCCGCCCCCCGCAAAAGAAAAAAAAAAGGAAGAUAAACCACAAUGUGGUCCGUUCUUGCCUAGUCAACCUAGAAAAGUCAUUGCCUUUCCAGCCAAAACUCUGAUGGAAUUCUUACAGGAGGGGAAAUGGAUUGUUGAUAAAAAUUAUUCCGAAGCUUUAUCUGGAGAAGAAAUGCAGGAAAGUAACCAAUAAAAUACUGAAAAGUCAAGAAGGGGUGAUUUGCUCUCCCAGG